GACGAACGCUGUUUGCGUGCUUAACACAUGCAAGUCGAACGGAAAGGCCCUGCUUUUGUGGGGUGCUCGAGUGGCGAACGGGUGAGUAACACGUGAGUAACCUGCCCUUGACUUUGGGAUAACUUCAGGAAACUGGGGCUAAUACCGGAUAGGAGCUCCUGCUGCAUGGUGGGGGUUGGAAAGUUUCGGCGGUUGGGGAUGGACUCGCGGCUUAUCAGCUUGUUGGUGGGGUAGUGGCUUACCAAGGCUUUGACGGGUAGCCGGCCUGAGAGGGUGACCGGCCACAUUGGGACUGAGAUACGGCCCAGACUCCUACGGGAGGCAGCAGUGGGGAAUAUUGCACAAUGGGCGGAAGCCUGAUGCAGCAACGCCGCGUGCGGGAUGACGGCCUUCGGGUUGUAAACCGCUUUCGCCUGUGACGAAGCGUGAGUGACGGUAAUGGGUAAAGAAGCACCGGCUAACUACGUGCCAGCAGCCGCGGUGAUACGUAGGGUGCGAGCGUUGUCCGGAUUUAUUGGGCGUAAAGGGCUCGUAGGUGGUUGAUCGCGUCGGAAGUGUAAUCUUGGGGCUUAACCCUGAGCGUGCUUUCGAUACGGGUUGACUUGAGGAAGGUAGGGGAGAAUGGAAUUCCUGGUGGAGCGGUGGAAUGCGCAGAUAUCAGGAGGAACACCAGUGGCGAAGGCGGUUCUCUGGGCCUUUCCUGACGCUGAGGAGCGAAAGCGUGGGGAGCGAACAGGCUUAGAUACCCUGGUAGUCCACGCUGUAAACGGUGGGUACUAGGUGUGGGGUCCAUUCCACGGGUUCCGUGCCGUAGCUAACGCUUUAAGCACCCCGCCUGGGGAGUACGGCCGCAAGGCUAAAACUCAAAGGAAUUGACGGGGCCCCGCACAAGCGGCGGAGCAUGCGGAUUAAUUCGAUGCAACGCGUAGAACCUUACCUGGGUUUGACAUGGAUCGGGAGUGCUCAGAGAUGGGUGUGCCUCUUUUGGGGUCGGUUCACAGGUGGUGCAUGGCUGUCGUCAGCUCGUGUCGUGAGAUGUUGGGUUAAGUCCCGCAACGAGCGCAACCCUUGUUCACUGUUGCCAGCACGUUAUGGUGGGGACUCAGUGGAGACCGCCGGGGUCAACUCGGAGGAAGGUGGGGAUGACGUCAAGUCAUCAUGCCCCUUAUGUCCAGGGCUUCACGCAUGCUACAAUGGCUGGUACAGAGAGUGGCGAGCCUGUGAGGGUGAGCGAAUCUCGGAAAGCCGGUCUCAGUUCGGAUUGGGGUCUGCAACUCGACCUCAUGAAGUCGGAGUCGCUAGUAAUCGCAGAUCAGCAACGCUGCGGUGAAUACGUUCCCGGGGCU
rnacentral:rRNA from 1 species